CUUAGAGGAAGGUGCGGUGGAUUGGCAGGACCAGGACCUGCUCGCCAUCUUGCCGGCAGCUGGCAGAGCCCGGCUGGGGAAGAUGGGGGAGCAAUAAUCCAGGACGGGAGCACUUGGUAGAGAACCCAAAGGCUGAAUAUUGAUGAAAGGAUGAUUUUGAUUCCCGGUGGAACGGGCGAGGGUGUAGGGGAUGGUGGAGCCCUCGGGAACAUAGGCCUCAGGAACAGAGGACAGUGGAUGACAACCACCUGGAACUACACGCCCAGAUCAAAGAAAAAUGAAACUUCCAGGAAAAACAUGUUCUGCCUUUUCGCGUGCACCUUGCAUCUGGCUGUCCUUUGCCCUGCUGUGCUGCCACUUAUUAUAGCGAGCUGGCCGGGCAGCCAGCCUCGGCCUUAG